ACUGACGAAUAGCAGACGAUGUUGUCAAACAUCCCUUUAGCACACGUACCGCUCGGAGUGAUUGUCACAAAUGGUUAGCCAGCAUCCGCCGGAUGUACGUACAACCAUGGUACAACGAUCCAUUUACGACAGGUACUAAAUUGGAUCUUACGCCGUCCUCGUUUUGAGCAGAUAAAGGGUUCAGCGACCGUUGAACAAUUACGGUAUAACAACCGCCUUGUAAAACAGUGAUAGUUCCAGCGGGAUCGUCCGUAUUUAUCUUACCGUCCUUCCUCGGGAUGAACACCUCAUACCUAAGGCAGAUUUAAAUUAUUAUGCAACAAGUGUACGUGUGAAUGGAAAACACAUUUCGGACUUACGUGCCGACAACUACCUCUAAAACAUCUGUGCUUACAAGACGUUCAAGCAUCGAAGAGUUGUUUGAGGCGAGGAAAGGAAAAUGGAUAAUCCUAUCUUUUGAUUUCAGUGUGAUGUUCCCUUGAUCGACCAAAUCAUCGUGCAGAUU